AAGUGUUUGUAGAAAGUGAUUUGUUGAGAAAGAGAGAGAAACAGGAGAAGGAGAGUGAAAGAAACAGCUAACUGUCACACCGAGUGAGAGAAUUCAGAAAGAUGGAAUCCAGGAGAGAAAAACAACUUCCACACUGAGUGGAAGGACACUUGCCACUGAAUUAAAGGCCCAACCAGAUAAUUCAGAAUGACUUCAUCAUCCCAAGAUCCUUAACUGGAUUAGAUCUGCCAAUACUCCUUUCAAAAAGUUUGCUGAAAUUGAUGGUUUCAAGAUUCAUCCAUAUCCCUACAAAGGACGCGAACUCAUC
rnacentral:lncRNA from 1 species